rnacentral:rRNA from 1 species
AUUAAACGCUGGCGGCAUGCCUUACACAUGCAAGUCGAACGGCAGCACGGGGGCAACCCUGGUGGCGAGUGGCGGACGGGUGAGUAAAGCAUCGGAACGUAUCCUGGAGUGGGGGAUAACGUAGCGAAAGUUACGCUAAUACCGCAUAUUCUGUGAGCAGGAAAGCAGGGGAUCGCAAGACCUUGCGCUCUGGGAGCGGCCGAUGUCGGAUUAGCUAGUUGGUGGGGUAAAGGCCUACCAAGGCGACGAUCCGUAGCGGGUCUGAGAGGAUGAUCCGCCACACUGGGACUGAGACACGGCCCAGACUCCUACGGGAGGCAGCAGUGGGGAAUUUUGGACAAUGGGCGGAAGCCUGAUCCAGCCAUGCCGCGUGAGUGAAGAAGGCCUUCGGGUUGUAAAGCUCUUUCGGCGGGGAAGAAAUUGCACGGGUUAAUACCCUGUGUAGAUGACGGUACCCGAAUAAGAAGCACCGGCUAACUACGUG